ACGUAGGACCCGAGCGUUGUCCGGAUUCACUGGGUAUAAAGGGUGCGUAGGCGGUCUUGUGCGUCAGAGGUGAAAUAUCCGGGCUUAACCCGGAGGGUGCCUUUGAUACGGCAGGACUUGAGUCCGAGAGAGGAUGAUGGAAUUCCUGGUGUAGCGGUGAAAUGCGUAGAUAUCAGGAGGAACACCGGUGGCGAAGGCGGUCAUCUGGCUCGGAACUGACGCUGAGGCACGAAAGCGCGGGGAUCAAACAGGAUUAGAUACCCUGGUAGUCCGCGCCCUAAACGAUGUAUGCUUGGUGUUGGGCCUUUCGGGGCUCAGUGCCGUAGGGAAUCUGAUAAGCAUACCACCUGGGGAGUACGAUCGCAAGGUUG
rnacentral:rRNA from 1 species